rnacentral:lncRNA from 1 species
CAUUCUUCAAAUCAUGAUCGGCGGCUUGGAUUCAUCAGAGCGGGAGGACGUAGAAGCCGAUGGCGUCGAGGUAGUCCCCCGCGCGGGCGAACAUGGCGACGACGCUGGCGUUGUCGAGCGGGACGUUGAAUGGCGUCCCGGCGCCGCGGCCGAAGGGCCCGUAGGUGGCGCGGUUGGUGACGAACUUGAGCGAGGAGAUGGUGUGGGGCGCGUCCCCGAUGGGGCCGAUCGUCCCGGCGACCUCCGUCACGUACUCCGACGCGUCCAGGGUGAUGUUCUCGUCGCCCUCGCCCUGGCCUUUCGCGGCGCCGCCCCAGGGCCCGGCGGUGUGCAGGUUGCCGUCGCCGUCCCGGUAGGUGAAGGAGAUCCAGUCGAUGACCUUGCCCCACCGGAGGGAGAUGCUCUCCAGCCGCCGCGGCGCCGCCGUGAUGUCCACCGGGCUCCCGCGGUCGCCGCCCCACGUCCCGACCUUCACCGCCGACGAGCUCUGCAUGAUGCAAACCAACACACGGAUCAGCUGUUGUAACAAUGCGGAGUGAGUAGUGUG